GCAAGUCUAUAGGUUAUGAUUACCAAGGCAUGAGCCUUGGCAGUUCGGCGUCCAAGGCGUAGCCUUGUCCUUCUCUAGCACCAGGACGCCAUGGCGACGCCAUGACAACUAUGCUUUCAGGUUCUUGGAUCAAAGUUGCUAUAGCAGCAUAAAUAUGGAGCUGUCAAAUCUCACAUUAGUUGAUCUUACCUCAUAGACAAUAACAAAGCAGAAAGAGAGAGAAUUAGAAAGAGAAGGAAAGCACGUGCGACUUAUUCUCUGUUACAAAUCUAAGGUUUUGUAUAAGCAGCUGUAAACCCUAGUGAUUUUGCAACCCGUUUUCUUCUUUACAGAUUAUAGAGGAACCCGAAAUUUGUUGUAUUCUACCUAAUGUUAUAAACAGUUUCUUUACUUUUUCUUUGAAAAUACAUGAUAGUUGCUGAUACAAUAACUUUUCUCUUGUAUGAAUAAAAGCUAGUGCAUUAUCGUUUUCAUGGAUUUAUGACGCAUGCGCUAUUAUGUGGAUGUAGCAGUGUGAAAAAUUCAACAUUUAAUUGCUGUUUUAGUUUAAGAUCAUCAGGGUAUUUUUAAAGUUUGGUAGAUAUUGAUUCAUGGUGAAGCCUAAAACCAUUUGCUUAUCUGAAUAUGAAGAACCAAAAUCAUAUUUUAGUGCAUCAGCUCAGGUGCAAAAUGCAUCGUCUUUCUGCAUUUGUGCCUUUGCAGAUUGUCCUACAUUAUCAUGCAUAGAUCUGAUCAUGGUAGAAUGAAGUUUUUGGUUUUAGGGUCGGUCUACUUUACUUGUAAAAUUUUGUUAUCAUGCUCCUAUGUAGAUAGUACUUUGUAUUAGGUAUCUUUUCCUUUUGUUACUCAAUAGUACAAUGAGGGGUUACUCCUUUUGUCCUGAAAUUGCAGCAAAACUAAUAGCAUCUCUACUAGUUAAUAUUUCAACUAAUGAACUUGCUUAGGAUUAUAUUUGCAUAACUGCUCUGUCCAGAAAAGCACUGAUACUUGUGUAUGAUAUAAUUUGAUCAAUCACUGGUCAUUAGGGAAUACAAAAUGUGCUUGGUCAUAUAGUCAGCAACACUUGAGCUAGUGACUUCUAAUGAUGGUUGGAACUAAAUGGUAUUCCCUUGUAGUAUAUUUGUUGGCAAUAUGAAGCAAUUUUAGGUUUAUUGUGGGGGGAAGAAAAUAUUCCUUACGGCGAUGGCAGUCGAGCAGUAUGUCUCUUUCAGCUCUCUUUUUUCCCUCCUAUUUUCUUGGUACAAUCUCUCGGUUGUAAGAGAUAGAUGUCACAUGAUAAGAGAGACACACUGUUAGGUUGCCAAUAUCAAAUAUUUACUGCUCUUUGACAGUUCUCCUUGGG
rnacentral:lncRNA from 1 species